rnacentral:misc_RNA from 1 species
CUCUCUCUCUCUGUCUCUCUCUCACUCUCUUCACUCUUCUGUGAUUCUGCAAGAGAACCUUUUUCUGGCCUCCAUUGAUACCCUCCAAAGCUCUAUACCGCUAAUCCCUGUUAACCUUUGUCUGAGCAGUAAUGGCCGUUAUAGUGCUUGGAAUGCUGAUGUUGGUAAUGACUGGCCAUGCUAGCUGCACAUGGUGUGUUUGCAAGGAUAUGUCUGAUGCAGUCCUUCAAAGGACUUUGGACUAUGCUUGUGGAGCUGGGGCUGAUUGUGGUCCUACCCAUUCAAAUGGUGCUUGUUACCAACCUAAUACCGUGAAGGCCCAUUGCUCUUACGCUGUUAAUAGCUAUUUCCAAAAGAAGGGCCAAGCUCAAGGCUCUUGUGAUUUUGCAGGCACAACUACCAUUUCUACAUCUGAUCCUAGUUAUAGUGGCUGUUCUUAUCCGGCUACCGUCAGGUAUAUUGCUUUUAUUUCGCUUUUGGUUUUUGGUGCAUUUAUUGCUAUUCUUCUGUUCUGGUUUAGCUGCUCCUUUUUUUUUUUUUGGCAUUUCAAAUUUUAAUGAUUAAAAUAAAUGUGUCGCUUUUAAGCAUAGUGAUUGAGGGGUGGUCUUAACCUUUUUUGUUAAAUGGGGCACCCCUUCUUUCUUGGGGGCAAGAUGCCAAGACAAGACAGGCUUGGCAGCUAGCUAUUGUUCUUGGCUUUCCUGAAGCUAAUUAGUUUAAAAUUUAUUGAAUUUGGAAGAAUAUACCAUUUGUGGAAAAGUGAAUUUGUUGGUGGUAACCCUUUAUUCUUGGUCCCUUGCUCUCACUGACUUCAUAUUAAAAUAUUGGAUGUGGAAGAAGAAUCUAGGGCAUAGAUUUAAAAUUCAUCGUGUCUGAGGUCUUAGUUCACAUUGAAAAGAGUAAGGAAAUGAAAAAGUGAGUCAGGAAUUUCAUGGUAUCUGCCUUUGUGCUGUUUGAUAUUUUGGCUGAAACAACUUCAAGAUAGUUACACCAAUCAAAAUUAGUAUUUAAAUGAAGUAUGGCUUGCUAACUUGCGUGGAGACCUAGCUCUGUUCGUGUUGGAUUGUGUAGAUUCCUCUGCUUCAGAGUACCUUUGGCUUCAUAAAGGGCAAAUUUAUUUAUUUAUUUAUGCGGGAUGGGCAUCUUUCCUUAUAAAAAUAGGCGAAAAGGUUGCUUUUUGCAAGUGUUUUGGUUCUCUAUCAACUGUUUUCUUUCAGAUGAUGCUUUUAGAUGGUAAAAUGCAUGACACCCUUCUCUUUUCUCUCUCCUAUCACCUUUAGCUAGAUUCAAAAUGAGCUAUUUUUGUCAUUUUGACUCGUGUUGCAAUUGCAUGAUGAUUUUCUUGAUCAUUUGGCCAUUUGCUAGUUGGUGAAGAGUUUCACUUGCAUAAAAAAGAGGCUGCAAUAAUUAGGAUCCAUUGCCUUUUAGUAAAGUUAAAAUUUUAUACUAGAACGGAUAUUAUAAAGGAUGCCAACUUGUAUAAAGAGAAUAAUGUGCAUCAUAUAAACCAUGCUAUGCCACUACCAUUUGAGCUCCCUCUAAUAUGAUUAAGAUUAAGAUUUUUGUAACAAUUUUUUUUUUAAUUAGAGAAGAUUUUAUUCACGUACUGUAGCAAUUCUGACUGUUGAUCCGGACAUGAACUUUUUUCAAAUAUUUCUUUCAAAAUAUGAAAGGAAAAAGGCACUACAAUGCCAUUUCUUGGGGAUGUGUCUUUAGUCAAAAAGUGUGAUAAGGGAGGGACGGCGGAGUAUGGCAACAAGACUUUUUUUACUUUGAAGAACUGAGUGUUUGCUGCCACUUCCAUGGUGGGGCUUUUUUAUCUUUCUCUUUUGUUUAAAUUUUCAUAGUUACCUCAAAAGUCUUGGGAUGAAUGAUUAUAUUGGGAUUUGAGCCAUCUUUUGAAAUUUGGAUUUCUUGAGAACUGUACAUGUGUGGUCCCACAAUUCUAAAAUUGUUUCUGCAUUUAUUUGGAUCAUUUUUCUCAAGUAGCUGGUUUAGUUUGGUAAAACACAUUUUUUGUUACUUGAACUAUUGUAAUUAGCAGUAUGGGACACCUGGGACUGCCAAAUUUUCAUGACAAGCAGCCAAAAUAUUGGUAGUAACAGUGAUCAGGGCUGUGUGUGCUUCAGUUAUGUCCUCAAUGUUUAAUUUUAAUAGUGUACUAGCAAUGACCUAUGUAUUCGUAGAUCCCAACAUAAAGCAGCUUUUUGCUUCUUUUUCCCUUGCCUAUUUCUCAUUGAUUUAAGUACGAAGCUUAAAAUAUGAAAAGGAAAUCUUUGAAUGUUUACAACAUAAAUGCCCUUAUAUAGAGCUGAAGAGUUGCUACAACUGCAUUUUGGAUUGCAGUUCUGCAUUCCGUAUGCAACCUUUGGGAAAUGCAUCAAAGGAUGUUGAUUAACCAACCAGUGAAAAGGAGCUCCUUGUGUCGUGACCUAUUUAAUUUUUGCUUAGUUUGGAAAGACUGUAUCCCCUAGUUAAGUUCAUAUUUUCAAUUUCUCUAUUUCUUAUUAAAAUGUCGAACCUAGUCUAAAACCAGUUUCUUUAACUGAUGUAAAGAGUCCAAAUAUCUUGUCUUAAUUUCUAAAUUUUGGUGAUGAGGCGGCAUUAAAUAUGUUGUAAAUUAAAGCACAUAUUCAUUUUAGUAAUAAGCUACAGCAUAUGAAGUUCACCUGCCUAUUCCAUCACCGUCCAUUUGUAAUUUCAGAUGACUGCAUUUGAAAUGUCAAGGAAGCUGCUUUUUUUCCAGCUACUUUUACAAAAUAAGACAGAUUCCAAACUGUGCAAGUCUAAUCAAACAAUUAUAUGAGUGUGAUUGAUGAAGUUUUCGCCCUUAAUGUGGAUGGACCUGAUGUGAUUAUCAUAUCGGUUUGGAUAAUGCAAAGCCAAGAACUUGUACUGCUGGACGGUUGGGUCCAUGCUUGAUGCUUUCGCAAUCAUGUUAACUUGUAUGCAUGUUUUUGCCAGUGGUGAAUUUACUUGUAGCAAACCGUGCUGCAGGGACUAGCACAACUACUCCAACUCCAGUCACCACAAAUCCAUCUACCACCACACCUUCAAACGCCACCCCAUCCAACGCCACACCAACAAUCACUACUCCAUAUACUACAACACCAUCCAAUGGAGUCUUGGGAGGCAUUGGCAAU